AUUGAACGCUGGCGGAAUGCUUUACACAUGCAAGUCGAACGAUGAAGUCUAGCUUGCUAGACGGAUUAGUGGCGAACGGGUGAGUAAUAUAUCGGAACGUAUCCAUUAAUGGGGGAUAACUAGUCGAAAGAUUGGCUAAUACCGCAUACGUCCUACGGGAGAAAGCUAGGGACCUUCGGGCCUGGCGUUAAUGGAGCGGCCGAUAUCUGAUUAGCUAGUUGGUGAGGUAAAGGCUCACCAAGGCGACGAUCAGUAGCUGGUCUGAGAGGACGACCAGCCACACUGGAACUGAGACACGGUCCAGACUCCUACGGGAGGCAGCAGUGGGGAAUUUUGGACAAUGGGCGCAAGCCUGAUCCAGCCAUUCCGCGUGAGUGAAGAAGGCCUUCGGGUUGUAGAGCUCUUUCGCAAGGGAAGAAAACUUACCCUCUAACAUAGGGUGAGGAUGACGGUACCUUGAUAAGAAGCACCGGCUAACUACGUGCCAGCAGCCGCCGUAAAAC
rnacentral:rRNA from 1 species